rnacentral:lncRNA from 1 species
GACAGGUUGACAACAAGCACCGAAAGUAGCUGGGAAAAAUGGGCAACAAGAGCAGGCCAAUCUUGGAUUAGAUAUGGCAGGCGCAUGGGCAGCUGGAAGAUGUUGAAAAAUGGGGCAAACGAAUGACCCACGAGACAUUUUGAAAAUAAAAAAAGGGAGUUGCUUUUGGCAUUUAAAAGAAGAGAGGAAGAGGGAGAGGGAGAAAUUCAUACACUUCAAAUUGGGAGAGAGUUCAG